AGAAGGAGAGUAGUAUUUUCUUUAGUAGUACACGGUACUGCACGCAGGAGGCUGUUACUAUCUCUUUAUGGUACCAUACGUUUGUUUUCUGUACAAUAAAAAUGUGUAGUCUUUAUGGGCUGCUUUUAGUCUCCCACAUCUUUAGCAUGACUUCAACACGAAGUUCUGAUUUUCAACAUUAGCUGAAAAUCAUCUCCACACGUGGGGCGUCUCUGUUUUAAGAUCUGGUCAACUGAUGAAAAUGGUUCCCAGUCACUGAGUCUUGUGGACGCUUCAUUCAUGGGCCACCUGCUGAGGUGUGAGUUCUGGUGAAGAAGAACUUUCUGGUUUUAUUUGUUUGUUUUUCAAGGUAUUGAUUUUCUGAAAAUAAAUUGAAUUUAAGUGA